GACAGAGGGUGCAAACGUUGCUCGGAAUUACUGGGCGUAAAGCGCGUGUAGGCUGACCGCUGUGUCAGGUGUGAAAUCCCUGGGCUCAACCCAGGAACUGCAUUUGAAACUGGCGGUCUUGAGUAUCGGAGAGGAAAGUGGAAUUGCUGGUGUAGAGGUGAAAUUCGUAGAUAUCAGCAGGAACACCGGUGGCGAAGGCGGCUUUCUGGACGAUAACUGACGCUGAGACGCGAAAGCGCGGGGAGCAAACAGG
rnacentral:rRNA from 1 species